GGCUCAGGAUGAACGCUAGCUACAGGCUUAACACAUGCAAGUCGAGGGGAAACGAUAUUGGAAGCUUGCUUCCGAUAGGCGUCGACCGGCGCACGGGUGAGUAACGCGUAUCCAACCUGCCCAUCACUUGGGAAUAACCUUGCGAAAGUAAGACUAAUGCCCAAUGACAUUUAUAGAAGGCAUCUGAAAUGAAUUAAAGGUUACGGUGACAGAUGGGGAUGCGUCUGAUUAGCUUGUUGGCGGGGUAACGGCCCACCAAGGCAACGAUCAGUAGGGGUUCUGAGAGGAAGGUCCCCCACAUUGGAACUGAGACACGGUCCAAACUCCUACGGGAGGCAGCAGUGAGGAAUAUUGGUCAAUGGACGGAAGUCUGAACCAGCCAAGUAGCGUGCAGGACGACGGCCCUAUGGGUUGUAAACUGCUUUUAUAUGGGGAUAAAGUGAGCCACGUGUGGCUUAUUGCAGGUACCAUAUGAAUAAGGACCGGCUAAUUCCGUG
rnacentral:rRNA from 1 species